rnacentral:other from 1 species
GACAUUCUGGUUCAUUCGCUAAUGUGUUAUUAAAUUUGAACCGAUACAAUUAAAUAGGUGAUAUUCCACUAUCAUUGUUGAGCAGUACCUUUACAGGGAAGCCUGAUUUGAUAAGAAAUUCACCACCUGACCUUUCGGUUCAGGUAAAACACAUGGCGGUGAUUUGGUUUGUUA